CUGGUCUCAAACUCCUAACCUCAAGUGAUCCACCCACCUUGGCCUCCCAAAGUGCUGGGAUUAUAGGCAUGAGCCACCACGCCCAGCCCCCCAGAAGCAUUUUAUAUAUUUAUUAUUAUUAUUACUUUAAUAGAGACAGAGUCUUACUUCGUUGCCCAGACUGCUCUCAAACUCCUGGGCUCAAGCAGUGAUCCCCCUGCCUUGGCCUCCCAAAGUGCUGGGAUUAUAGGCAUGAACCAUUGUACCAAGCCUAGCAGUAUUUUGAAUAAUUCCCAAGCAUGCUAGCUGAAUGACAGAUUUAAGGAAUUUCUUUGAUUCGCUUUGUUCUUUACAAAUAUAUUUCCCAUUUGUUUUGAUUAUUGUUAACUAGGAAGACUUGCUUGUCAGCACGUUGUGAGGUUGUUUUUACAUAUAAAGGAAUGAAUUGUGAAUGGUAGUGAGUUCUAAGCUGUUAGUUUGUGGCUGCUCCAGCUUUUAUCUAAAAUUAUGUUUCUUUUCUGAUUUGUUCCCAACGUCAUUAUGUUAAGGGUAGGAUAAGGGAAACUUCAACAUUUGACAAAGACUCUCCUUUGACCAAAACCUCAGUCAGGCUCCUCUGAGUCCUCCCUGCACUAGGCUCGACCUUGGGCUUCUCUUUCUGUCCUUAUUAAAUCCAGUUUGAGCAAGAAUCCUGACAAAUUGGUUUAGUGAAAAGUCUUCCACACUUAUAUCUGUCCAGCCUCCACAUCUUAUCACGCUGAUCUGCCUUUAGCAAUAAUCCUAUCAAGUUGGUUUAGCCAGAAACCUCUUAUCCUUCAUGUUUCUUCUUAGCAAUUUUCCACCCACUCCCAACUUGCUCCUUGGUGAUAAAUCCUCACUCAUCCUUGUUGGAGACAGAGUUGAGUCCAAUCUCUCUCCCCGACUGUGAGACCCCAUUGCAAUGGUCCCUAUACCUAUCACCAUGGCUCCCUUUGAAUAAAGUCUGCCUUAUAAUCUUUAAUAGCAUCAUGAAUAAUUUUUCUGUAAUAAUUUUAUCACAAAUAUUACAUUGCAAAUUAAGUAUGUACAUAACUUAUGAAAAUAGGACAAAAGGCCGGGCACAGUGGCUCACGCCUGUAAUCCCAGCACUUUGGGAGGCUGAGGCGGGUGGAUUACCUGAGGUCAGGAAUUCGAGACCAGCCUGGCCAACAUGGUGAAAUCCCAUCUCUCCUAAAAAUACAAAAAAUUAGCUGGACGUGGUGGCAGGCACCUGUAAUCCCAGCAACUUGGGAGGCUGAGGCAGGAGAAUCGCUUGCACCCAGGAGGCAGAGGUUGCACUGAGCCAAGAUCAGGCCACUGCACUCCAGCCUGGGCAACAAGAGUAAAACUCCAUCUCAAAGAAAAAAAGAAAAUAGGAUAAAAAUGGAUGAGAUGAUUGUUGGAAUACCUAUUUUGUUGAGUAUUUUCUCUGGUGAUUAUUUUCAUAUAUAUAUAUAUAUAUAUAUAUAUAUAUAUACAUAUAUAAAACAUGAUGCUUUGUAGUAAGAUUCUAAUGAAUGUCAUAAAAAUGCUCAUGUGUGGUCAUAUCGACAUCCACCUUUAUGGGGAGAAUUUAGUGAUUUCUAUUGUUCUUACAACCAUCAUUGCACACUUAACAGAAUCUGAAAGCUAGAAGUUUCCUUAAAAAUCAUCAUCAUUUCAGAAAAAUAACAGAUGCUGGUAAGGAUUCAGAGAAAAGGGAACUCUCAUACACUGCGGUUGGAAUGUAAAUUAGUACAGACAUUAUGGAGAACAGUAUGGAGAUUUCUCAAAAAACUAAAAAUAGAACUACCAAACGAUACCGCAAUCCCACUACUGGGCAUAUAACCAAAGGAAAGGAAAUCACAAUUUCAAAGGGAUACAUGCAUCCCCAUGUUUAUUGCAGCAUUAUUCACAACAGUGUCCAUCAUCAGAAGAAUGGAUAAGGAAAAUGUGGCAUAUUUACACAAUGGAAUAUUUUUCAGCCAUAAAAAAGAAUGAAAUCAUGUCAUUUGCAGCCACAUGGACGGAACUGGAGGUCAUUAUAUUAAGUGAAAUAAGCCAGACACAAAAAGACAAGUAUCACAUGCACUCACUGGUGUGGAAGCUAAAAAAGCUGAUCUCAUAGAGGUACAGAGUAGAAUGAUAGUUACCAGAGUCUGGGAAGGAUGUUGAGGGUUAGGACAAACAAUGGCUAAUUAAUGGGUACAAAC
rnacentral:lncRNA from 1 species